rnacentral:rRNA from 1 species
GACGGAGGGUGCUAGCGUUGUUCGGAAUUACUGGGCGUAAAGCGCACGUAGGCGGCUUUGUAAGUUAGAGGUGAAAGCCCGGGGCUCAACUCCGGAAUUGCCUUUAAGACUGCAUCGCUAGAAUUGUGGAGAGGUAAGUGGAAUUCCGAGUGUAGAGGUGAAAUUCGUAGAUAUUCGGAAAGAACACCAGUGGCGAAGGCGACUUACUGGACACAUAUUGACGCUGAGGUGCGAAAGCGUGGGGAGCAAACAGG